rnacentral:tRNA from 1 species
GGCCUCGUGGCCUAAUGGCUAGGGCGCUAGAUUUCGGUUUCCCAAUUCUGAUUCUCUAGAGAUUGUCGGUUCGAGUCCGGCCGAGGUCG